GAGGAAGGUCCCCCACAUUGGAACUGAGACACGGUCCAAACUCGUACGGGAGGCAGCAGUGAGGAAUAUUGGUCAAUGGAGGCAACUCUGAACCAGCCAAGUAGCGUGCAGGAUGACGGCCCUAUGGGUAGUAAACUGCUUUUAUGCGGGGAUAAAGGAGCCUACGUGUAGGCUUUUGCAGGUACCGCAUGAAUAAGGACCGGCUAAUUCCGUGCCAGCAGCCGCGGUAAUACGGAAGGUCCGGGCGUUAUCCGGAUUUAUUGGGUUUAGAGGGAGCGUAGGCGGUCUGUUAAGCGUGUUGUGAAAUGUAGGUGCUCAACAUCUGCACUGCAGCGCGAACUGGCGGACUUGAGUUGGCUGAAAGUAUGCGGAAUUCGUGGUGUAGCGGUGAAAUGCUUAGAUAUCACGAAGAACUCCGAUUGCGAAGGCAGCAUGCUGUAUCCUUACUGACGCUGAAGCUCGAAGGUGCGGGUAUCGAACAGGAUUAGAUACCCUGGUAGUCCGCCGGGUAAAUAAGGGAUGCCCGCUGUGGGAAAUAUAGUGUCAGCGCCCAAGGAAAAGCGUAAACCAUCCCACCUGGGGAGUACGCCGGCAACGGUGAAACUCAAAGAAAUUGACGGGGGCCCGCACAAGCGGAGGAACAUGUGGUUUAAUUCGAUGAUACGCGAGGACCUUUACCCGGGCUUGAACUGCACAGGACUGAUACAGAGAUGUUGAUUCCCUUCGGGGCCUGUGCGGAGGUGCUGCAUGGUUGUCGUCAGCUCGUGCCGUGAGGUGUCGGCUUAAGUGCCAUAACGAGCGCAACCCCUUUCGUCAGUUGCCAUCAGGUUCUGCUGGGCACUCUGGCGACACUGCCACCGUAAGGUGCGAGGAAGGUGGGGAUGACGUCAAAUCAGCACGGCCCUUACGUCCGGGGCUACACACGUGUUACAAUGGCAGGUACAGAGGGCCGGCGCCUGGCAACAUGCGUCCAAUCCUUAAAGCCUGCCUCAGUUCGGAUUGGGGUCUGCAACCCGACCCCAUGAAGCUGGAUUCGCUAGUAAUCGCGCAUCAGCCAUGGCGCGGUGAAUACGUUCCCGGGCCUUGCACACACCGCCCGUCAAG
rnacentral:rRNA from 1 species